GGGUCGUUAGCUCAGUCGGUAGAGCAGCGGACUUUUAAUCCGUAGGUCGCGUGUUCGAAUCACGCACGACCCACCA
rnacentral:tRNA from 4 species